GCCUGGGUGGCUCAGUUGGUUAAGCAUCUGACUUCGGCUCAGGUCAUGAUCUCGCGGUCUGUGGGUUCGAGCCCCGCAUUGGGCU
rnacentral:tRNA from 1 species